rnacentral:rRNA from 2 species
AAAUUGAAGAGUUUGAUCAUGGCUCAGAUUGAACGCUGGCGGCAGGCCUAACACAUGCAAGUCGGACGGUAGCACAGAGAGCUUGCUCUUGGGUGACGAGUGGCGGACGGGUGAGUAAUGUCUGGGGAUCUGCCCGAUAGAGGGGGAUAACCACUGGAAACGGUGGCUAAUACCGCAUAACGUCGCAAGACCAAAGAGGGGGACCUUCGGGCCU